GGGCGUGUCUAGGGGGUGGCCAGGGGUGGCACGUGCUACCCCUGGAAUCUGAUUGGCCACCCCAGGUGCCACCCCAUAUGCUAAACUAUGAUUGGCUAUCUGCCCACGGAGGCGGGAACGUUUGAAUUGUGUGACUACCGAACUUUCAUUUUCAACCGACAAGAAGACAUCAAGAAGACAUCAAGAGAUUGCGGCUACUCGCUCCUGAAAGAUGUCUGUCAUCAUCGCGACUGUCGACAGUGUCGACUGACUCAGCUUGCUGCCUAGCAAACCUGUCCAGGGAUUCUUAGCUCCUGAAAGAUUAUGAAAAGAAAUCAGAACAUUCAGGGAUUCUUCAAAAGAAAGAAAUCCAAAACAACAGAGCAGGACAGAGCAGCAGAAGCCAGCAGUGCUAGUCAGUCUGAGGAUGAGAGCCAGCUUGACUCUGCUAGGGAUGUACAGCAGGAGCCUCCAGCUUCAGCUGUACACAUGGACUCAGACAAGGAUACUGGUGAUGAAGGCCCUUCAUCUUCACUUGCACAUCAGGGUGUGUCAAGUCAGCCACUCUCUGACAAUGACACUGACACUGAGAACCAUCCAGCAGUACCUGCAGGCCAUGCAGUGACACGU